AUGGAAGUUGGUUUUCGGAGUACUAUUCCUGAGAGCCAGGCAUCUGAAAGCAACCUGGGUCAUAAAAGCUCCCGAGUUUUGCUUGACAUAUACACCACUCCUAUUAGAAUAUUUCUUGGUUCUGGUCUUGACUCUGAGCGCUCCAGUAAGCUAACAUGUGCAUCCAUGCUCAAGAGAUACCAGGAUGGAUGGCCAGCAAUGCUGACAAAGCCAGGAGUCUAUAACAGAGGCCAUCACGCGCAGAUUGUUUGA
rnacentral:lncRNA from 1 species